rnacentral:rRNA from 1 species
AUACGUAGGGUGCAAGCGUUAAUCGGAAUUACUGGGCGUAAAGCGUGCGCAGGCGGUUUUGUAAGACAGUGGUGAAAUCCCCGGGCUCAACCUGGGAACUGCCAUUGUGACUGCAAGGCUGGAGUGCGGCAGAGGGGGAUGGAAUUCCGCGUGUAGCAGUGAAAGGCGUAGAUAUGCGGAGGAAAACCGAUGGCGAAGGCAAUCCCCUGGGCCUGCACUGACGCUCAUGCACGAAAGCGUGGGGAGCAAACAGGAUUAGAUACCCUGGUAGUCCACGCCCUAAACGAUGUCAACUGGUUGUUGGGGAUUUAUUUUCUCAGUAACGAAACUAACGCGUGAAGUUGACCGCCUGGGGAGUACGGCCGCAAGGUUAAAACUCAAAUGAAUUGACGGGG